AGUUAACUGUAUAAACGUGUUCAAUGACUUUGUUACUUUUGAUGAUUGGAGAGCACUCGCUUCAAUUCGCACACACAAUUUAUACUCCUGAAUGUCAUCUUGUUGUGAUUUUUUCUUUUUUCUGUAGGUUCCAGAGACUCUGUGAGGCCACUAUUACAAGGCAAGUUUGCAAAUCUUGGAAUUUCACAGUUUACAUGGUAUACAUGGUAUAACAAAUAUAUGUGACAGGCAAAAACUGUCACAUAUAAAAGUGUUACAAGAACUGCUAAAAGUUCUUGUAACACUUUUAGCAGUUACAAGAACUAACAAAUGAAUAUCCAACAAAAGGGACUAGAAAUACAUUGUACUGCCAAUACUUUGGUUUAUUCUUUGUAUGACUUGAAAAUCAGGCUUUAGGGAAAACUAAAUGACAUGUUUCUAUCAUCAAUUACAUGAAGUAAACACACAAGCACUUGCAUACACAUUUAAGACAUGAGACACGCUGAUUCCAUCUCAUAAAAUGUGUCUAUAGGUGAGACGCUUUGCGUUGAUUGGUGCUGCUGAACCACACUGGAGGUGCGAGUCCGCCGUGUAAUGGUUUAUGCCAUUACAAAGGAGCUGGCCUCUGUACUCAACUGGGCAGGGGAAAAAAACCAAGGACCAGACAAAGCAAAAAAGGGCAUUUAAAGAGACAGCGCUGUGCAGAUGCAUAUUUGAUGGCCUGACGCAGCAGUUAGGGGCAAACUCGAUGUCAGAGUUUCUCUUUGCACAGGCAGUGCAGAAGUGGCUACGGUACGCCCCAGACCGUUCGGGUGGUGCAGGACGCACAUCAUCCGUCCCCAUCCCGGGGGAGUAGUAAAAACUACAAAGUUAUAUUAAAAUAUAAAUGUAAAAUAGAAAACUGUGUUUAAAUAAAGUAUUUAGCAAACAAAACAUGUCUAUUGACCUUUUUUUGUUUAGUUUUUUUUUCUCUGUUACAUCACAUGCAAUGCUUUCUUAUUUUAGGAUAUUAAUAUUGACAAGAUACAUUGUGAGACAUUUGAUUUUUAUAAAGGGUGUCCAGUUUGAGGAUUCAGUGCAAUUAUGUGUUUAGGUGGUUUAAGUGUUUAUGGAAAC
rnacentral:lncRNA from 1 species